ACCAUUUUAUUGCUCAGAUACAUAAUUUCUAUUGGAACAUAAGGAAGUGGACAAGCAGAGCGAAAACUUGAAACUUGAAAGCCAUUUUUCAUCUAGAGUGUACCCCAUGCUUCGCUCUGUAAGUGAUGUUUCUAUGCACUACAGCUGGAGUUCUAGUCAUAGAGCAGAAGCCUUGUUUUCAGAGAAAGGACAACCAGCAAUAUUUGGCAACCGCUCCCCUAUUCUCAACCAAUAGACUUACAAAUGGAAGCUUUGCAGCAAACGGGAUCUGGCAGGGAAUGAAGGUGGGACCAACAUACAUUCAUUCCCAAUCCUAGAAGAUAAUUUUAAAUGUAAGCCUGUUGACAGUGACCCAGCCAUGUCAUUUUUGUUCAUGGGCCAUAGAAUGCUUUUGUAUAUAAAUCUGCUUGAGCGAAAAUAUAAUGUAAGUUAGCUUAACUAUGCUUAAAAUCGUCACUUAAAAAUCAUUUAUUAUAGAAAGCUUAAGUAUGUAUAUCCAGAAAUUUUACUCAUGCCUUCUCCAACUUUUGCACUAGAAAACACCUAAAGGGAACUUUUUGCACACUUACACAAAUGGAGAGAGAACAGUGUUUUAUAUAAGGAAGCUGUGGUGAAUGUAACCAAAAUACUGUCAAGUGACGAGAAAUAGUGUGUUGAUGUCCUGCAGUGAAGCCUGACAGGUGCUCCAUACAAUAUGAGAUUUUUCUAUUUGUGCCAGCAGUGGAUCAUUUGGAAUAUCUCAGAAACUAGAACUUGAAUCAGAAUGCCAGGCAUCUUAACAUGAUGCCAAACUCUUCAGACAAAAAGAUAGAGGGAAAGAAGAAGAAGAAGAAGAAAGAAAGAGGGGAGGAUAUUCGUGAUCUCUACAGAGGCUAAAUUGUUGCCUAGGUUCACGGCCAUUAAUUGUGACUGUGUUUCUAAAACUUUCCAACCAUCAGCCUGGUAAAGAGCCUAUCUGAGAAUCACCUGCUGUGUGGGAUGGAAAGGAUUAGCGUGGCUCUCACUGGUUACAUCACCGCUUAAUUUGGCUCUUCCCUAUAUCAAGUCAACUCAUAAUUAUCUGCUCUAAUGGGCCUCAG
rnacentral:lncRNA from 1 species